UACGUAGGGUGCAAGCGUUAUCCGGAUUUACUGGGUGUAAAGGGCGAGUAGACGGUAAUUUAAGUCAGAUGUGAAAACUUUGGGCUCAACCCAAAGACUGCAUCUGAAACUAAAUAACUAGAGUGUAGGAGAGGAAAAUGGAAUUCCUAGUGUAGCGGUGAAAUGCGUAGAUAUUAGGAGGAACACCAGUGGCGAAAGCGAUUUUCUGGACUAUAACUGACGUUGAGGAGCGAAAGUGUGGGGAGCAAACAGG
rnacentral:rRNA from 1 species